rnacentral:tRNA from 1 species
CCACCCGUAGCUCAACCGGAUAGAGCACCGGCCUUCUAAGCCGGGGGUUGUGGGUUCGAGUCCCGCCGGGUGGACCA